rfam:Rattus norvegicus chromosome 3, whole genome shotgun sequence.
GGGGAUUUAGCUCAGUGGUAGAGCACUUGCCUAGGAAGCGCAAGGCCCUGGGUCAAUCCCCA